rnacentral:rRNA from 1 species
UACAGAGGUGGCAAGCGUUGUUCGGAAUUACUGGGCGUAAAGGGCGCGUAGGCGGUCUUGUAAGUCCCGUGUGAAAGCCCCCGGCUCAACUGGGGAACGGCACGGGAAACUGCGAGGCUUGAGUUCGGGAGAGGGAAGCGGAAUUCCGGGUGUAGCGGUGAAAUGCGUAGAUAUCCGGAGGAACACCAGUGGCGAAGGCGGCUUCCUGGACCGAUACUGACGCUGAGGCGCGAAAGCUAGGGGAGCAAACGGG